ensembl:ncRNA C50B8.8 ncRNA
CACACACACCAAUCAAUGAGAGAUGCGGACAAAAAGAGAAUACCAUGAGAGAGAGGAGCUGCGAUUUGAGCUCUCCUAUUUGCCGAGCGGUGAGACGAAGGAGCGGGAGCUGCGCGGGAGCACGAGAAUAAGAGAA